rnacentral:rRNA from 1 species
UACGUAGGGUGCGAGCGUUGUCCGGAAUUAUUGGGCGUAAAGAGCUCGUAGGCGGUGUGUCACGUCGUUCGUGAAAACCUGCAGCUUAACUGUGGGCGUGCGGUCGAUACGGGCAUCACUGGAGUUCGGCAGGGGAGACUGGAAUUCCUGGUGUAGCGGUGAAAUGCGCAGAUAUCAGGAGGAACACCAAUGGCGAAGGCAGCUCGCUGGAACGGUACUGACGCUGGAGGCGACGAAAGCGUGGGGAGCAAACAGG